ACCGGCCGACCCUGGGAAAGCCGGGGUCCCCGGAGUUGCAGCUCCCGGAGCUCCGGCGGCGGCUCCACCAGCGAAAGAGAUCCCAGAGGUCCUAGUGGACCCACGCAGCCGGCGGCGCUAUGUGCGGGGCCGCUUUUUGGGCAAGGGCGGCUUUGCCAAGUGCUUCGAGAUCUCGGACGCGGACACGAAGGAGGUGUUCGCGGGCAAGAUUGUGCCUAAGUCUCUGCUUCUCAAGCCGCACCAGAGGGAGAAGAUGUCCAUGGAAAUAUCCAUUCACCGCAGCCUCGCCCACCAGCACGUCGUAGGAUUCCACGGCUUUUUCGAGGACAACGACUUCGUGUUCGUGGUGUUGGAGCUCUGCCGCCGGAGGUCUCUCCUGGAGCUGCACAAGAGGAGGAAAGCGCUGACUGAGCCUGAGGCCCGAUACUACCUACGGCAAAUUGUGCUUGGCUGCCAGUACCUGCACCGAAACCGAGUUAUUCACCGAGACCUCAAGCUGGGCAACCUUUUCCUGAAUGAAGAUCUGGAGGUGCUGAGCAAGAAAGGGCACAGUUUCGAGGUGGAUGUGUGGUCCAUUGGGUGUA
rnacentral:sRNA from 1 species